CCUACUCGAGCCUCCCGCUGUCUUGGAAGAAAAAGCCAUUCUGCUGUUUUGGAGGCUGUCUGUGGGCGAAUUCUUCUUCAUGGUGCCCAUGGCCCUGCAGCUCACGACCAACGCCUUCAGGUCCUGCUGGUGGUUGCCUGCCUCCUAUGACCCGGCGUUCACCUAGCGCUGCUGCCCGGUGUCUUCCGGCGACCAUGCCCUGAGCAAUUGGUAAGAGUAACUCAAAAAGGUCAAUAAUGAAACCCUUAACUCCAUGUCAUUUUGGUGGUUUGAUAAUCUCCAUUUAGUAAGUGCAAACAGUAAUCACUGUUUGAUUGUUAAUUUAGCAAGUAGUUGAUUUUAAAGCAUGUUUGGAAACCCAAGUGUAUGUUUCGUCUCUUUGAAGUUUGGAGUUGGCAUCUUCUGGACAUGGUUACUCUUGUACAUGCCAUCUUUGAUUUGUAUAUUAUUUGUCGGGCCAAACUUGCUGAUACCGUUUGUCUUCAACGCCAUGACAUUGUUUUUGCA